rnacentral:rRNA from 1 species
UACGAAGGGGGCGAGCGUUGUUCGGAUUUACUGGGCGUAAAGGGCGCGCAGGCGGCUUAUUUUGUCAGGCGUGAAAGCCCCGGGCUUAACCUGGGAACUGCGUUUGAUACGGAUGGGCUAGAGUUCGGGAGAGGAGAGUGGAAUUCCCAGUGUAGAGGUGAAAUGCGUAGAUAUUGGGAGGAACACCAGUGGCGAAGGCGGCUCACUGGACCGGAACUGACGCUGAGGAGCGAAAGCUAGGGGAGCAAACAGG